AACCACAUUAACAAUGUGGUCCACCCUGAUUGGUUGAUCUGUUUUAAAACAUGGCUGACAGAUCAGAUAAAAAAUAUGAAGGCACAGAACUAGUGUGUGUGAGGUGGUAUCGGAAAAACCUGACCCACAGCCCCUGAACCGAAGGGACGUGCACUUCUCGACUGUCUGUACCCGGCCAGUGCAGAAAAAUGACCGACUGAAGGGUAACGUAUUUUCGGCAAAUGCAGGGCAAGAUUGCAGCACAGGUGCCAAGCAUGCUUUCAGAAAUAGCCUCCUGAUUGAGAAAGACUAUCCUUCUGCACUACCUCGUGAGUCAUGUUUUCAAAAGAAUGUUCAGUUGGAGAAGCACCAUGUUGAUACAACAGUUUUCACUCUGCAAAGAUGUAGCAGACAUAAACAGGUAUCUGUGCCUGCAACAAGUGCCAUUUGUUUCCACUCAGCAUUUUCAAAGGAAGAAGCAACCGGGGUUCAGGCUCGUCUGAACGACUCAGUGAAGGAAUCUGAAUGACGAAUUCAUGAAUUUCACUCAUUACCAGUGGAUCUCACAAUCCCUGAAGCAUUUUUAUCAUCCACAGAAGUUUUUGUGCAAGAAGACUGGGCACUCUGAAAGUGCAGCUCCACAUGAGCAGGAAUGCCUAUCCAAAAUGGCUUGUGGUAUAGACAUACAAAACUUUACUUCAACCUCUGGGGAUUUCAUGGCUUCUCUAUCAGUGAAGGACAAUAAUUGGCAAAGGGGGAGUAAUUAUUCCUAAAUCAUCUUGAAUUAAAAAAAAAUAGGUCAAGAAGGGCACUGUCAAGGGAAACUUAAAACAGAAGUAGGUUUGACACAGAGAUUUAUAUACAUACACCAUAAAUGUGGAGGUAGGUUUCGAGAUAAGUUGCCUUUGACCCCAUCCCCUGUCCACUUCUUCAGUACACCAGCACCUUUUUCUAACAUUACAAAUUCCUACAGAGCUUCAAGCAGCUGCCUUUAUUCAAAUAAAUAAAUAAAUUCAACUUCUCAUGGCAAUGUUUCCUCCUCCUUUUACUCCUCAGAAUGUGAAACUCACAGUAGAAUUGUCAAAUAUGGAAGGUCCAAGAUAGACCAGAUUUAGAGGGGGGACACUGUCAGCUUUCUAUAACUACAGAUGCCACAGCUUUAAAGACCUUAAUCUUGUGGGCUUGCAACAGGCGCUGUAGCCCAUUAGGAAGGGGGAAUUUCAGCUUCCCAGUAGAACCCAACACAAUGUUCACUCCUAACUCCAGCUAGCCCCAAGAUUUUUUUUAUUAUUAUUAUUUUUUGUAUAUCAAAAAGCUAGCUAGGUCAUGUUUAUAGAAUUUAUGGUUCCUUCUAUACAGGAAGACUCAUGCUAGCUAAGGCCACUGGCUGUACUGGAAAGGGUAGCAAGAAAUAAUAGACCACAAACUCUAAACGAUUCUCACAAAAACAGUUUUGCAUAACAUAUUGGCAUGUGCAGAAUGCAUGCAGUUGUGACACGGUCUAAAGUUUAGACCUACUUUAAGCCACUCGUGGCUUUGUUGCUCAUUAAUACAGCCAUCCCUUGUGCACCCAAAUUUUAGCCACAAUAUUUGUGCUCACAUUUUGCACAAUUCAUUUUCAGGUGCAAUCAAGAGUGCAGUUCAAUCUCAGGUGCAAAUUUGACUACUUGGACCUCUGAUUAUAGGUUCAAUUGUCUCCCUUUAACUGGCAUUCCCUGAACAGUUUCUUUGCUAACUUACUUCACAUGUAGUCCUAUCACAGUCAGGAAGAUACGAGUGUGGUCAGGUAUCUUCACCAUCUGGGGUUAGGCAACACUAUGAAGAAAACACCUGGCACCGUCUACGCUAUGGCUUUCACCGUUGAAGCCAUCAGCUACCA